AAUUGAUGUCUAUAAUUUUGAGCCAACCAUACUGUGUGUGUGUGUGUGUGUAUAUGUAUGUAUACACACACACACACACACACACACACACACACUAUGGUUGGCUCAAAAUUAUAGACA
rnacentral:miRNA from 1 species